CUAAAAAGUUGCUUCAAUGCAAAAUUAUGAAAUGUAUGCCCGCAUUAUACUGGUGGGCGACCUAGAGCUGAAAGUAUUCCCGCAUUUUACUGGUGGGCGACCUAGAACAUGAAUGUAUUCCCGCAUUUUACUGGUGGACGACCUAGAACUGAAAUGUAUUCCCGCAUUUUACUGGUGGGCGACCUAGAACUGAAAUGUAUUCCCGCAUUUUACUGGUGGGCGACCUAGAACAGAAAGUAUUCCCGCAUUUUACUGGUGGGCGACCUAGAACUGAAAUGUAUUCCCGCAUUUUACUGGUGGGCGACCUAGAACAGAAAGUAUUCCCGCAUUUUACUGGUGGGCGACCUAGAACUUAAAAGUAUUCCCGCAUUUUACUGGUGGGCGACCUAGAACUGAAAUGUAUUCCCGCAUUUUACUGGUGGGCGACCUAGAACAGAAAGUAUUCCCGCAUUAUACUGG
rnacentral:lncRNA from 1 species